rnacentral:rRNA from 1 species
AGAGUUUGAUCCUGGCUCAGGACGAACGCUGGCGGCGUGCUUAACACAUGCAAGUCGAACGGUGAUCCGGGUACUUGUACCUGGUGAUCAGUGGCGAACGGGUGAGUAACACGUGAGUAACCUGCCCUCCACUCUGGGAUAACUCCGGGAAACCGGGGCUAAUACCGGAUAUGACGCCAACCCGCAUGGGUAUGGUGUGGAAAGUUUUUCGGUGGAGGAUGGACUCGCGGCCUAUCAGCUUGUUGGUGAGGUAAUGGCUCACCAAGGCGACGACGGGUAGCCGGCCUGAGAGGGCGACCGGCCACACUGGGACUGAGACACGGCCCAGACUCCUACGGGAGGCAGCAGUGGGGAAUAUUGCACAAUGGGCGAAAGCCUGAUGCAGCGACGCCGCGUGAGGGAUUAAGGCCUUCGGGUUGUAAACCUCUUUCAGCAGGGAAGAAGCGAAAGUGACGGUACCUGCAGAAGAAGCACCGGCUAACUACGUGCCAGCAGCCGCGGUAAUACGUAGGGUGCGAGCGUUGUCCGGAAUUAUUGGGCGUAAAGAGCUUGUAGGCGGUUUGUCGCGUCUGCUGUGAAAUCUCAAGGCUCAACCUUGAGCUUGCAGUGGGUACGGGCAGACUAGAGUGUGGUAGGGGAGACUGGAAUUCCUGGUGUAGCGGUGAAAUUCGCAGAUAUCAGGAGGAACACCGAUGGCGAAGGCAGGUCUCUGGGCCACUACUGACGCUGAGAAGCGAAAGCAUGGGGAGCGAACAGGAUUAGAUACCCUGGUAGUCCAUGCCGUAAACGUUGGGAACUAGGUGUGGGCCUCAUUCCACGAGGUCCGUGCCGCAGCUAACGCAUUAAGUUCCCCGCCUGGGGAGUACGGCCGCAAGGCUAAAACUCAAAGGAAUUGACGGGGGCCCGCACAAGCGGCGGAGCAUGCGGAUUAAUUCGAUGCAACGCGAAGAACCUUACCAAGGCUUGACAUAUACCGGAAAAGUCAGAGAUGUGCUCCCCGCAAGGUCGGUAUACAGGUGGUGCAUGGUUGUCGUCAGCUCGUGUCGUGAGAUGUUGGGUUAAGUCCCGCAACGAGCGCAACCCUCGUUCUAUGUUGCCAGCACGUGAUGGUGGGGACUCAUAGGAGACUGCCGGGGUCAACUCGGAGGAAGGUGGGGAUGACGUCAAAUCAUCAUGCCCCUUAUGUCUUGGGCUUCACGCAUGCUACAAUGGCCAGUACAAAGGGCUGCGAGACCGCAAGGUGGAGCGAAUCCCAAAAAACUGGUCUCAGUUCGGAUUGGGGUCUGCAACUCGACCCCAUGAAGUCGGAGUCGCUAGUAAUCGCAGAUCAGCAACGCUGCGGUGAAUACGUUCCCGGGCCUUGUACACACCGCCCGUCAAGUCACGAAAGUCGGUAACACCCGAAGCCGGUGGCCUAACUCGCAAGAGGAGGAGCCGUCGAAGGUGGGACUGGCGAUUGGGACUAAGUCGUAACAAGGUA